AUUGAACGCUGGCGGCAGGCCUAACACAUGCAAGUCGAGCGGAGCGGCCGACGGGUGAGUGAUGCCUAGGAAUCUGCCUGGUGGUGGGGGAUAACGUCCGGGAGCGGGCGCUGAUACCGCAUACUAUCAGAUGAGCCUAGGUCGGAUUGGCUAGUUGGUGGGGUAAAGGCCUACCAAGGCGACGAACCGUAACUGUUCUUAGAGGAUGAUCAGUCACACUGGAACUGAGACACGGUCCAGACUCCUACGGGAGGCAGCAGUGGGGAAUAUUGGACAAUGGGCGAAAGCCUGAUCCAGCCAUGCCGCGUGUGUGAAGAAGGUCUUCGGAUUGUAAAGCACUUUAAGUUGGGAGGCGGUACCAACAGAAUAAGCACCGGCUAACUGCGUGCCAGCCGCCGCGGUAAUUC
rnacentral:rRNA from 1 species